AACAUUCUUAUCCUGACACCAAUUGAAACCCUCCAUCACAAGCUGAUGAGCUCUAGAAAUCAGGGUGAGACCAUUGGUGUGAUUGAAUUGAGAUGCUAUAUCCUGUCCAAAGGUAUAACCAGCCCCUCGAGGUGAGAUUCCCCAACCACACCGAUCAUCUGGAUCAGACCACAGGAGAUCACACAUUGGCCCUUCAUGUGGAACCUCUUGUAUA
rnacentral:misc_RNA from 1 species